AGGAGAAAGUCCAAACUUGUCCUAUAAUCUCACAACAUAAGGUGCAAAAAUGUCGACGAUUUUUAAGAAAGGAGAAAGUCCAAACGUGUGCAAUAACCUCACAACAUAAGAAGCAAAAAUGUUGGCGAUUUUUAAGAAAGGAGAAAGUCCAAACGUGUGCAAUAAUCUCACAACAUAAGAGGCAAAAAUGUCGGCG